rnacentral:rRNA from 1 species
GUAGGUGGCAAGCGUUGUCCGGAAUUAUUGGGCGUAAAGCGCGCGCAGGGCGGUCCUUUAAGUCUGAUGUGAAAGCCCACGGCUCAACCGUGGAGGGUCAUUGGAAACUGGGGGACUUGAGUACAGAAGAGGAAAGCGGAAUUCCAAGUGUAGCGGUGAAAUGCGUAGAGAUUUGGAGGAACACCAGUGGCGAAGGCGGCUUUCUGGUCUGUAACUGACGCUGAGGCGCGAAAGCGUGGGGAGCAAACAGGAUUAGAUACCCUGGUAGUCCACGCGUAAACGAUGAGUGCUAAGUGUUAGGGGGUUUCCGCCCCUUAGUGCUGCAGCUAACGCAUUAAGCACUCCGCCUGGGGAGUACGGCCGCAAGGCUG